CCUACGGGAGGCAGCAGUGGGGAAUUUUGGACAAUGGGCGCAAGCCUGAUCCAGCAAUGCCGCGUGAGUGAAGAAGGCCUUCGGGUUGUAAAGCUCUUUUGUCAGGGAAGAAACGGUGGGGGCUAAUAUCUCCUACUAAUGACGGUACCUGAAGAAUAAGCACCGGCUAACUACGUGCCAGCAGCCGCGGUAAUACGUAGGGUGCAAGCGUUAAUCGGAAUUACUGGGCGUAAAGCGUGCGCAGGCGGUUUUGUAAGUCUGUCGUGAAAGCCCCGGGCUCAACCUGGGAAUUGCGAUGGAGACUGCAAGGCUUGAAUCUGGCAGAGGGGGGUAGAAUUCCACGUGUAGCAGUGAAAUGCGUAGAGAUGUGGAGGAACACCGAUGGCGAAGGCAGCCCCCUGGGUCAAGAUUGACGCUCAUGCACGAAAGCGUGGGGAGCAAACAGGAUUAGAUACCCUGGUAGUCCACGCCCUAAACGAUGUCUACUAGUUGUCGGGUUUUAAUUAACUUGGUAACGCAGCUAACGCGUGAAGUAGACCGCCUGGGGAGUACGGUCGCAAGNUUAAAACNCAAAGGAAUUGACGG
rnacentral:rRNA from 1 species